rnacentral:rRNA from 2 species
CACGCAGUAAACGAUGAUUACUAGCUGUUUGCGAUAUACCGUAAGCGGCCGAGCGAAAGCAUUAAGUAAUCCACCUGGGGAGUACGUUCGCAAGAAUGAAACUCAAAGGAAUUGACGGGGGCCCGCACAAGCGGAGGAACAUGUGGUUUAAUUCGAUGAUACGCGAGGAACCUUACCCGGGCUUGAAAUGCAUCUGACCGAAGUGGAAACACUUUUUCUAGCAAUAGCAGAUGUGUAGGUGC